GAUGAACGCUGGCGGCGUGCUUAACACAUGCAAGUCGAACGGAGCUAUUACAUUGGAUUUCUUCGGAGAGAAGAUGUAGUAUGCUUAGUGGCGGACGGGUGGGUAACGCGUGGGUAACCUGCCUCAUACAGGGGGAUAACAGUCAGAAAUGACUGCUAAUACCGCAUAAGCGCACAGUACCGCAUGGUACGGUGUGAAAAACUCCGGUGGUAUGAGAUGGACCCGCGUCUGAUUAGCUAGUUGGUGAGGUAAUGGCUCACCAAGGCAACGAUCAGUAGCCGGCUUGAGAGAGUGAACGGCCACAUUGGGACUGAGACACGGCCCAAACUCCUACGGGAGGCAGCAGUGGGGAAUAUUGCACAAUGGGGGAAACCCUGAUGCAGCGACGCCGCGUGAAGGAAGAAGUAUUUCGGUAUGUAAACUUCUAUCAGCAGGGAAGAAAAUGACGGUACCUGACUAAGAAGCCCCGGCUAACUACGUGCCAGCAGCCGCCGUAA
rnacentral:rRNA from 1 species